AUACAGGCUGGUUAUUUAACAAAUUUGUAUCUUUAUUCCCAUUUUGAUUAUUUGUCUGUUUUAAAUUACUUUUCAUUGGGCAUUUUUCAUGAAAGUUCACUUUGUGUACGUGUACGUGUCCCCUUAGUGAUUGUGCUGUGCCGAGCAUCUCGGAGGAGAGGGAUCAGAAGUUCAGAGCAGAGACCACAAGUCUUUCUGCGAGUGUUGCUACAUCCAGCUGAAACCUUUAUUUUGUAGUUGCCGGUAGAAGGGGGGAGUGCUUCCUGUCAACCCAGGAUCCUUUGUUCCCUGUGGCUGAGUGAUGCUGGCAGCCUUUACCUCUCUGUUCACCAGAGCCAGCUGGGACCAGCUGGCUCCCGGUCUGCUGCUGGGGUCCCGGGGAGUCAACUGCAGUACAAACACACACACUCAUUCUCUUUCUGUCCUAAUGUCC
ensembl:lncRNA